rnacentral:lncRNA from 1 species
GAAUGUGAUUUGGAAAAAGAGUCUUUGCAGAAAUAAUUAAGGGAAGGUCAUCCUGGAUUGUCUUCCCUGAUGGCUCAGUGAUAAAGAACCUACCUGCAAUUCAGGAGACAUGGGUUCCAUCCCUGGGUCAGGAUUAUGCCCUGAAGAAGGCCAUGGCAACCCACGCCAGUAUUCUGGCCUGGAGAAUCCCAUGGGCAGAGGAUCUUGGUGGGCUACAGUCCACGGGAUCACAAAGAGUCGGACACGACUGAGUGACUAACACUUUCACUUUCGUUGGUGAAGAAAUGGAUGCUCAGAGAUUUUGAAUGUGUUGCACAAACAGCAAUCACAAUUGUUUGGCACAAGCUGCACAGAACCCAGAGAAACUUCCNNNNNNNNNNNNNNNNNNNNNNNNNNNNNNNNNNNNNNNNNNNNNNNNNNNNNNNNNNNNNNNNNNNNNNNNNNNNNNNNNNNNNNNNNNNNNNNNNNNGGGCAGAGGAGCCUGGUGGGCUAUAGUCCAUGGGGUUGCAGAGAGUCAGACAAAAUUGAGCGACUAACACUUUUUUCAGGGAAGGAUCACACCUUCCUCUUUGUGCUUUCCACUUUCUGCACUGAGUUUCUGAAGGAACUCAGGAUGUGCAUUUGUAAAAGGUGCCCUCCCUGGUUGGCAGGAUGGAGAUCGAUCAGCAGAGGUCACAUGGAGCCAACCUCAAUCCUGGGACAGGUGACUAAGGAAACAUUUACUGAGCAACUUUCUGUAAGAUUCCUAGUGAGUUCUGAUAACUCUGUUGUCCCGCCAGCCAGUCCUGAAGACACACUGUGCUCCCCAAAUGGAGGAGACAAAGAAGCAAAACAGCCAGCCGGCAGCCAGUGCAGGCCCCCUGCUUCUCUGCUGGUCUGUUCAGCAGGGAGCCUGAGGCGGCCUCCCCGCCCUCCACCCAGGUUACAUUUGCACAAGGAAAGCACACUCAUCACAAGCUGCUCUUGAAAGGGCCUUGGUGGCGAAAGUUGCUCAUGAUCCACUUUCAUAUGAGAGUCUGACAUUUGGGCAGCAGAAAAGAAACAGAAAUCAGUUUGAGCCAAUGACAUUUCUGUGGGAAAGGCGCCCGCUCCACAAGAGUGAGUAAAAGUGGCAGCUAACCCUGUGGUGGCCUUAUUGUUCCUCUCUCAGGAUGGGGAGCACUAGGCCCCCCGAGAGGAGGGCUGGGAGAAAGGGGGCUGCCACCUGUCGCAGGAAUGACGUCACCGGCGCGGCGGGCGCCAGCCCUCUGUGGGCAGCUUGAGUGCACCUCGCCAGUCAGCACCGGCUCCUCUGCAGCCCCCAUCACCAAGGGCUCAGCCGUCAGCGCGCCGGCUUCAGGAUUCCCAGGGAUCUGCCAAACGCCCGGCCUGCAUCCUAAGGGGACUUGGCCAGCAUUCAAAGUUAGCUCGGAGGGGAGGGAUGAGCGUGGUGUGGGAUGAUCUCUAAGUUUUGUGGGUUUUUUUUGUCUCUGUUCUGUUUGUUUACAAGCCUGCUGGGGUUAAGGAGGCAAGGGGAAAGGGUUUAAGAGGCUGAAAAGAAGAAGAAAAACUUACCUCACCCCGUGUAAUGGGAACAGGAAAAAGUGUAAUGGUUAAAGGGAAAGGAUUUAUUCCUUUCCCUUUUAACCAUUGUGCUUUGUUGCCUGUGCUUAGUCAUGCUGACUCUGCACUUUUUGUAAAAGAAUGUUGCCUAUAGACUACAUAGGACAGCCUGUUCCCAAGGCUCUGACCUUUAGGAGUAUAACACUUUUCCACUGGAGGGGGGUGGGGUGGGCAUGAGCCCCCCGUUUCUUUGCAGGACCAUGCAACAAACUAUUCUCUGCCUCAAACAUUCACAUUUUGAUUUGCUUGGCUUCACUGUGCAUCAGGCACACAAACUUGCAUUCAGUAGCCCAGCAAAAAGAGGUCCCAUGAAAUACUUCCUUUUAACAUAACUGCUGAAGUCCACUUCACAGUUGUAUUUUAUUUUUUUAACUUUAACUGCUGGAAAAUUCCUUUAGGAAUUAACUGCCAAUGGAUGAAGAUUAAUAUAUAUGAAAUAGACAGCAAGGUCCUACUGUAUAGCACAGGGAACUAUAUUCAGUAUCUUGUAAUGACCUAUAGUGGGGAAAAUCUGAAAAAUAAUGUGUGUGUGUGUGUGUGUGUGUGUACUUGUAUAAUUGAAUUAGUUUGCUAUACACCAGAAACUAACACAACAUU